GCCCGGCUGGCUCAGUCAGUACAGCGUGUGAUUCUUGAUUUCAGGGAUCGUGAGUUCAAGCCCCACGCUGGGUG
rnacentral:tRNA from 1 species